rnacentral:lncRNA from 1 species
CCCCUAUCUCACUCAAGCUCACCCCAUUUCUGCCUGGCUGUCCCCACUCUCCAUCCCCAAAUCAUCAUUCAAAACUCUCUGUUCCCCCAGCUCCGGACAGCCCCUGACUCCAUGCCUUCUCCCGACUCAUCCGCUGUCCCUUGUCCCAGGGGUUCCCCUCCCUCCUAACACACACACACCGGCUCAGGGAGGGAGAGGAAAUGGUGCACCAGGAGAGAGAAAAGGCAAAAGGUCAUAGGCAGUCGGGUGGGCGGGGAGGAAGGAAAGUGAAAGGUGACAGGAGAGCUGGGAGCUGUCCCGACAUGUCCUGGUUUGCCCCUCCCCCAGGGGGGCCUGUUCUCCCGACUCCCCCCAGGCCCCCUUAGACGCUUUUCCAGGGCUCUGCAGAAGGGCACCUGAAGAUGGUGGGGGCCGGGGUCAGCGGGCGAGUGAGGCUGGAGACCUCCCCCGGAUCCCCCAUGCUGGAACAGCGGGGACAGGGGCCUCCUCAAGUUCACUUCUCCUGGGUCCCCUGUUCGUCCCAGCAUCCCAAGGCAGUGCUGAGGCCCCGGGGUGGCUGCGGGAGGGGGG